UUUUCCAAAGUAUACAAAAUCACUUGGACUCUCAAUUCCCCGACCUACUUUUCAAGACUAGAAAUCCAUUGUAGUAAAAAAUAUUUGCAGAGUUACCAAGCACAAUAACUUCUUCAGCAUCAGGCUUGGGAUAUGGAUAGGUGGUUCCUUCAGCUGGCAAAACUACAAUAGCACCAUGUAUUACUGAAAAUUCCAAGUACCCUAUUUCUUGAAUAAAAUUGAAGGAGAUAUUUUUUUGAGGGCUUGAUCAGCAUGGAAACAAGUAUCUUUUACUAGCUUUAUGGUGUGGUUGUGAGCAAUUGAGAUAGGAUCCGACUGAGAUGGUCCAGUUUUAGUGUGGACAAACCAUUUUGCCCCAGGUUUCGCUUUUCAAAAGCCUAGGUUUUGGAAACUGAUGUGCACCUUGUAAAUUCUAAUUAGUAUAUUGAACAACUUUGAUAAGAUUCCCUCUCACAAGCAAAGGGGCCCUACUGUAUUGGACUCUAUCAGGCUGAUUAAUUCCCCAGAAUGGACAUUAAAAGAGACGCUUUCAACUUAUUGGACGUUGAACUUACUUUUUGAUUGCAAAAAUGAAGAGGACCUUGUUCAAAUGCAUCAGUAGAAUGGCCAAGUUGUGGUGUAUAGAAUAUGAAAAAUAUUCACCUUUUCCAGUGGUUUUUAAGGACAAGCCUAUGGUAUAUGGUAGAGUUAAAUCUCUUUAAAUAUGGAGGAGGUAGAUUGCGUUGAAAUCAUAUAAUCCCAAUUCAUUCUAUUACGGUAACUUUCGGGCAUUAAAGUUACUUUAAGCGUGGCUGAAUUAAUACCACAUGUCCUGUUAUAGUGUCAAAGAGACGCCUAAGUUUGGUUUGCCCUUGAAAGUGACAUUUAUAUUGAGACGUCCUAAUGGUCAUUUAAUAUUUUUUAUUUUUCCCCUUUUAGGUUUUUUAUUGUUGAACUUGCUUCCAUAUGAAAUACUGAGACUGAUGUGGAUGUCAUUGUUGUGAGCUCCAUCUAUCUUCCUUGCGUUAUCUGAACUCAGGUUGCUGUUACAAGAUUCCCCUAACAAGGCUUUCUUUAGUUUAGACCAUCUAAUCUCACUAAACAAAGCCUUCAUGUGGUCCAUUCUUGAUUUAAAUUUGAAAAUCUUGCUGAUGCAAUAUAUUAUAUAUUAUAUAUUAUAUAUUUAUAUUUAUAUUGAUGUAAAGCUUCCUCUGUAUACUUGUGUAUUUGGAUUUCUUAAAAUUCAUUUCUUUGCUUGCCAUGACUUCGUUUUUCUUACCCUCUAUUUGUUUGUUUUCUGCCCUGGAGAAUUUCCCAUCAUCCAAACGGUCUUUUCUCCCUCUGAUUUUUUUUAUUUUUUAUUUUUUAUAAAAAAAUCUCCUCUCCCCACGCUUUAUUCCUUCUACUUUAGAGUUUUGUCUCUUGCACUAGCAUGGUGGGCAUCAAUGCAUCAUCUGUGCGAUGGGAGUGCACACCACGCGCAGACCUUGAAAAAAAGAGGAUAUAACUGCUCUGAAAAUUAUGCGGAUGUUAGAGGUUCAAAGAAGAUCUUGUAGGGACUUCUUAUCAGUACAACGUGGUAAGACUCGAGUCUGUGAAAGCCAAGCUUUUGGGAUCCCCCUCCGAGGGAUAUACACCCACCACACGUCUCUGCCCACCGAUAAUCCUUAGCUUCUACACGCUGGUUAGCCAACCUUUCUCCCCUCUGUUCUGUCGGAAUCGGUUCAGAAUUUGGCGGGGGUUCUCUGCACCUGCCAUGUGUCUCACUACUCCCCAAAACCUAAUCAUUUUUCACUCGAGGGCAUUGUGGUAAAGAAUGACUUCGGGGUAUUGAAUUCUCAUUUUUAUCUAUUUAUUUAUUUUUUAUAUGCUCCCAUUUGUCCUGUAACUAUUCACUUCCAAUAGUUUCAUUGGCCGUGACAAUAACAAUUGAUGGAGAAAACUAAUCAUAGCUUAAAAUAGACUCUAUACAAUUCAACAGUUGGAGUGCGACAUGCAUAACUAAAUGGGCACUGCCUUUUUAAAAGGUCCCCCACCAUCUAAAACAAUAUGACAAUGUCCAUGGACCAAAGUGUGUGAUCAAUUUGGUGGUCUUGCCUUGGAAUAUUUUAGGUUGAGCCGGUUUGUUUUCUCCUAAAUUUUAUUUCACUUUAGUCUUGCAAUCUCGACCACUCUUAAUAUCCAAUUCCCAAGUUGUAUAGCCAGCCAUUAUAAACGAUAAGGACCAGGUGGCUCCCACCUAAAUUAUUCACAACCUGUUUGCCCCAUUUCUCUUGUCAUAUUGUGCCACAGAGACAUGUUAAAUUUAUUGAUUUCAGAUUACUCAAUCAUCAUGAUUUAAUUGUUGGCGGUUCCCAAAAUGUCAUCCAAACAUGAUGGAUUAGUAGAACAAAAAUAAUAAAAAAAAAAAAAAUUAAAAGUAGACUCUCCCCGAUUUGCAAAGUAAACGAUGGCCCUAUUGUGACAAGAAUUUCACAAGAAAAAAAAGUAUCACCAGCUGAUAGCUAUCCUAUGACGUGCAGAAAUGCUUUGCAAAUCACUGUCCAGUCUUCUGCUUAAAUUCAGCCUCCAUAACUGACUAUCCUACGAUAGGCAGUAAUGUUUUGCAAGCCACUGUCCAGUCUUCUGCGUAGAUUCAGCGUCCAUAACUGACUCAUUGAAUUGUAUACAUGACUGCUGCUAAAUAUGUACAUGACCAAGGCUAAAUCCAGGCAAAAAACUUGGAAGAAAAAAUUGGAAAAUAUAUAUAAAAUUCCGAACAAAUCAGCCUAUUUAAUCCAAAAUUUUAGGUUACUAGAUAACUUCAACACUUAAAAUUUAAAAAUUAAUUAAAUAAUAAGUUUUAAGUUAACUAAAAGAUAAUAAGUAUUAAGUUUUAUCAGAUAUCCUCUUAGCUUUUAUUUGUGAGUGAUUGUUAUGGUUAAAAUAAACGUUUCUUUAUUUUUUUUGGGAGAUUUACUAACUGAUUAAAUUUUUAGUUGAAGACUCGUAAGAAAUGUUAAUAAUAGUUAGGUGUAUAGAUUGGUCGUGGUUCCUUUUUCUUGAGUGUGGAAGAAAGUUAGGUUUGAGGGUAACCCUUGAAUUGCAUGUAGAAAGCAAAGAAGCAAAAUGAUUAUAGUAAUUAAGCAUGCACGGAUGUUUUGUGUGUACGAGGGUGCAAGGAAUUUAGGUAGCUCAAACUGACGACAAAAAUUUUACGAUAUAUUAUAGAAAUAUUGCGGAAAUUUUGGAUGUCGGCUGACCGCAAAAUGAAAUGGAGUGGAGAUUAAGCCAGCAAACAAUCGCCCAUAUAUCGGUGAUGUUUUUGUCCACUCCCAUUUUUUGGUGACAUAGAAGAGAAAACGUGCCCAACUGGAAAAAACGUUCUUUUGGUUCGAUGGUUAGAAAUGAAUUAUAACGUUAAAAUGACAAUUCAAUAACUAUUUUGGUUUAAUUUUUUUUUUAUUCUUUUAAAAAAUACUUUAUUUUUAAUCAAUUUCAAUCACAAUUUAAUUGAAGCUCUUUUGAUCUCUUAUUACUCAAAUUUUAUUAGUGAUUGCUAUCAAAAGUUUAUAAAUUUGGGAAUUUGAUAUUAAAGUUGUGGAUUAACUCUAAAUCAUGGUUGAUAAAUUGUUUUAAGGUAUAUAUGUAAUUUAAUUUAAAUUAUUUAAUUAGUAGAAAUUUAAUAAUUUAAAUGAUUGAAAUUAUUAGUUUAAUUUUAAUAAUAGUUUAACAUUAAACAUUAAUUAUAGUCACUUGUGUUUAUAUAUUGAGUUUCAUUUAUAUGCAUUGUUUAAUCUUCAUUUUAUUUACUAACAUUAUAUUAUAAGUUUAAAUGUCUAUUAUAUUUAAAUCACCUAAUUAGUACAUUUUCAAUAAAAACUAGUAAUUUAAUUUAGUAUUUUUAAAUUUAGUAUAGUACUGAAAUUAAAUUAUAGUUAAUUGUUUAUUCAAUUUCAUAUAAUGCAUAGUUAACUUUCAAUUGUAGUUAACUUUAAUAUAAGUUUUAUAUUCAAAUUAAAUUAUAGUCUAUUGUAUAUAAAAUAUCAUUUAUAUAUAUAGUUCUAUAUUUUUAAUUCAUUUAAUUUAAUUACAAGUGUAAGUGCAAGUGGGAGUGGAGUAGUGGGAUGAGAUCCUACUUAGAAGCAUUGUACACUAAUGGAGCAUAAUAGAAACAUUCUAUUGGUUGAACAUAGAUUGCACUUGAGAAAUCCUUGAAGUUUUGAUUUUUUUCGAUUUACUUCACCCUUCAUCCUCACAUCCAAGAUGUCCCAAGAGGAUUUCAAGGUCAUCAUUAUUCAUGAAAUAUGCCUAUAAAUAUAAAAAAAAAACUCAAAGAAAGCAUGAGAAAGUUGGGCAUAUACAAGAUGACAUAUAAUUGCUUAGUUGAAGGGUUCUUUUAAUGAUAUACUCAAACUUAGGAUGUGAUAUUGACCCUAUUUUUAUGCAAAAAUAUGGUAUUAAUAAAAAACCUAUCUAAAAGAACAAAAAAUUUAAACAUCCAUUCACAAUAGUCCUCAAGACAUACAUGCAUUCAUUCAUUCAUCCCUUAGGGCCAUGGGAUGAAAAAAAAAAAAAAUUUACAAAACCAAGUGAGCACACCAUAGUAAGGUUUUAAUAUGCUUUUCCCUAACUCAAGGCUCCAACACUAGUUGUUAGAAUCUUUGGACUUCUUUAUUCUAAGCCUUCGAUCGUUGGGGUGUAUGCAAAACUAUCCUAAAGAUCUCUAAAUUUAUGUAAGGGAAGCAUUCACAAAUUUGAACCUUAGAUUUAGGUGCUCAAAAAACUUUACCUUGGUCUGAAUGUUCUUAGACCAAUUCCAAAUGAUCACAAGUUGACGUGGAUCUUGAAUGCUUUGCGUUCUUUGGUCUAAUGGCUCUCUCUUAGAGAUUAGCUUGAAGAUGGUACAAUCUUCUUUGUGUGGAUGAAAGCUAGAAUUUUUCUCUUUAGAAGACCGAAUAGCAAAGAUUCGAUCUCUAAAUCCUUAAAGGAGUUUAUAUAGGUUUACUUAUAGGCUUAAAUGACCUGAGCCCACCUUGGGCUUGGGUCACUUAACCCUUAAUGCACAUAUAUGAAUAAUAACCUAACUAUCCCUCAAAUAAUGUUCUAUCAAGGGAUAUGAGCUUGAAUAAGGACCAUUAGGAUCCAUAGGAAAGUACUGAAUCCCUCAUAAUCCAAUUCUAAAAUUGACUUAGCAUCUCACCUUGGAUAUCAAAAUUUUUAGUGAAAUAAAUUAUCGCUAAAUUGGUCUUCAAAAAAAUGUGGCUCCCUAAUUGAUAAAAUUUGGGAUCGACAAGUGAUAGGUCUUAAACACAUUUGACAUGUGACAUAUAUUAAAAGGUGGCACAUGGUAAAAUUUGGAUGACUAAAAAAUUUUGUCUUCCAAAUAAAAUUAAAAUUUUCAAUUAUAGUAAAAAGAGAAGUAAAAAAAUAAAUAUUCUCUUGUUGACAAAUUCUUAAAGGAAACAAAUAUGUCAACCGAAGUCAAAAGAGAAUAAAUAACAAAUAAAUAUUCUCUUAUUAGCAAAUUUCUUUAACAAAGAAGACAAGCUGCUAAAAUCAAACAACUAAAUCUUGGAGAGUUCCAAAAUUUAAUUCCUUAAUUUCAACUAUAAACAGGGGUGACUUCCUUCAAUGGAGAGAUUUCUUCGGAUCAACAAAAUGACUCUCAUGGGAAAAGAGGCUUUUGAGGAUUGAAAAAAAUGACUCCACACGGAAACAAGGCUCCAUAAAGAAGAAUAGGCUUCACAAAAUAUCCUUACAAGUCCAAGAAAUCAUAGAAGAACUACAUACAUGAUCUUCGUUGUUCAAUGAAUUCAUUCGGGAACAAGCCACUUGUGGUCCUCGAUUGAUCUCUGAAAUCAAGAAAACGUUUUCAUCGUUGUCUUUCAAAUUGUGAUCAAGGUAAAAUAAUCAGAGAGAUAUAUUCUUUUAUAAAAGAAUAUUACCACAAAAAUUGUACCCCAUAAUUUAUUAAUUUUAAUAAAAUAUUUUGUUUCGCAGAUUUUUCCUAUUGUUUUGCUUACAUUAUAGAACUUUCAUGAAAUUUGUGCAUAUAAAUUUCUAGCACGAUUGUUGGAACCUCUUUGCCUCUCAUCUCUUUUUCCAAAAAGGUGAUCACUACCAAGACAAUGACAUUUAAAAAGGCUGAAGUUACACAUGUUGACAAGGGUGAUGCCAAGAUUGUCAUUACCCAAUCAACAUAUAGCAACUUUAUCAACCUUAUCACAUGUAGCAAAGCAAAAUUGACUACUGCACCACUAACAAAGUUAGCAAGCGAGCACACUUGUUUGUUAAAAACAACGGAGACGUAUGACAGUUACCAACUAGUCAUCACCUUGGCCUCUUUGGGGCCAAAGGGAUAGAGUUUUCAUGGUAGGGAAAAAUACCAUUCAACAAUGAAGGACUUUGAGGAUAAGUCUCUAUACUCUAUUGUUGAUGCUAGCUCAACCACUUGCUCACCAAUUGGGGAGUUAAAGUAAAACAAUCCCUUUGACCAUUCUAGUUUUUUCACUUCUUUAUUCUUGAUGACCAUGUUGGUAAUGGCUACUGGCAUUACAUCUGUGGAAGAACAACUAGUAGAAAUGGCUUGUGCCAUCGAUAAACUCACCAAGACUAUAUAGGAGAAAGAUCUACAAAUAACCUCUUUCAUAAACAAGGUCGAGGCACAAGCACAAAACACAUUGAGUCAAAUUAAGGACUCACUCACCCCUCGAGGAUCGCAUCUCCAAGUGAUGUACCACAUGUGUCUAAGUCGGUGUAAGUCGAGAGACAAACUGUUGAAUCUGCCUCGAUGGCAUCGUUGUCUAUCCAAAAACUUUAGGACAUGAUAACUAACACCAUCGGAGAGCAUUAUGGUAGACCCUCAGAAAGUACACUUAUUUACUCUAAGCCUUACACCAAGAGGAUUGAUAACCUAUGUAUGCCUGUAGGUUAUCAACCUCCACAAUUUCAAUCAUUCAAUUGGAAAAGGAAAUUCAAAGCAACAUAUUUCCCACUUUGUCCAAACUUGCAAUAAUGCAAGCAUGGAAGGUGAUCUAUUGGUAAAACAAUUUGUUUGAUCUCUCCAAGGGAAUGCCUUUGAUUGGUUUAUAGACCUUGCACUUGAGUGCAUUGACAAUUGUAAUCAAAUGGAGCGUGAAUUCCUCAACCUCUUCUAUAGCACCUUAUGAGCACUAACCAUGAUGGAGCUUACCAAUACAAAGUAAUGGAAAGAUGAGUCGGUUGUUGACUACAUCAAUAAUUGGCGCUCCUUAAGUCUUGAUUCUAAGAAUAGAUUAUCUGAGGUUCAGUUGUGGAAAUGUGCAUAUAAGGAAUGCAUUGAGGUCUUUUGUAUAUCCUCCAAGGAAUACGACCUUACACCUUCGAAGAAUUGGCUACUUGGGCACAUGACAUAGAACUCAGCAUAGCCAACCAUGGUGUAACGAAAGAUCCUAUCAUCGACCAACAAAGGGAGAUAAAUGAUGGGAAAAUGUGUGACCUGACCUCAAAGAAACCUGUCCAGGAGUCAAUGAUGGUAAAUACGACUCCCAUUAAAAUUUUAGUAAGAGAUAAAAAGGAGGUAAAAGAGGUUGCAUCAACCCAAGAAAAUGAGAAGUGUCGGUUCACCUUGAAGGAAUUGGAGGAGAAGAAAUAUCAUUUUUCUGACUCUAAUGUGCCUAGCAUGUUGGAAGAUUUGCUCUAUAAAAAGGUUAUUGAAAUACCUGAGUGCAAGCGCUCGAAAGAAAUGGGUUGUGUUGAUGAUCUGACUACUAUCGUUACCACCAAAUUGUUAUCCACCCGGUGGAAAAAUGUUUCAUCUUAAAAGAACUCAUAAUGAAACUUGCUAGACAAGGAGAACGUUAAAUUUUUUAUUUUUUUGCUUUCGUUACAUAGGAUCUAAAGGCUUAGGGUAGUUUGCAUGCACCUAUACAAUCCAGAGUAUGGGAACGAAGAGAUCUAGGGGUCCUAGUAAGACCAAUUAGACAUAUUAGAGAAUUGAUUGAUUAGACUAGUGGGUUAACUUUUUUUUUAAAAAAAAAAUUGAGCCAUUUUAAGCAACAUUAACCAGUAUUGAACUAGUAGAUCGACUAAUUAGAUUGGAAAAUUGAUUAAUUAGAUUAACGGUUUGAUUAAAAUGAGAAAAGGGGAGGAGAGGGGAAUUAGAUUUUGACCAACAGUAGAAAACAACUUUUCCCCUCUUUAAGUACCCUAUCUGUUUCCACAUCCUAACUAGGUUAACAACAUCUCUUAUCUAUUAGGAUAAAAUAAUAAAAUAUAAAGCUAAUGAAAUGUGAAUAAAAAGAUAAUAAAUAUGAAGUUAAUUGAUGUAAAAAAAAUUAUUUUAUUUUAUUUUUAUAUAUGAAAUAUCUUCUUAACAAUAAAAUAUUAUAAUUUUUUUAUUUAAUUAAAUUAAAAAUAUUAAUAUAUUUACAUUUUAUAUGAUUUAAUAGUAGUAUAUAAAAGAUAAAAGAAUGAAAUAUUUAAAAAUUUUAAUUAUUUAUAUUUAAUUCUAAUUUCUCAUAAUUACUUUUAAUUUUAAUUUUAUAUAUAAUAAUAAUAAUAAUAAUUAUAAUAACUUUUUCGGUUUAGUGAUUGGUUGAGUUUUAAAAACAUUAAUUCGGGUGUUUGGAGAACAUAUUUAGAGAGUAAAAAAACUCUUAGUCCUCUCAUAUAAAUUUUCAUUUAUUAAGAAUUUUUGGAUAAUUGAUAAGAUGGUGUCACGUAUAUAUAAAAGAUUCAUAGGAGAAAUAUUUGGUAACAACUGUAUGUGCCCUACCUGCUAAGUGAUUCCUUUUUCUCUUAAUUUGAGUAAAAUAAGUUGAACAAUAUUUUGACCAACUUGUUUUGAUGAGCCUUAAUUGAGCAACUAAACGAAGACUUUCAAUCAACUUUUUUAGAAAUAGAGUAAGCAGAGGAGAGGGGGGAGACUUAAGGUUUGAUAGGUGUGAAGAAGGUGAGGACAUUUUCAUCCCAUCACAUACAAUUUUUUUAGAAAAGAAAAAGGAAAAAGGAAAAUGGUAUUUAUCACCUAAAAAAGAAAAGAAACUGUUAUGAACAUAUAAGAGCAUGGUAUGAGGUGUGGGGGGCCCUAUUCCAACGACAAGGCAGAGAGAACCCCUGUUUUCUUAACCAGAAGGAGGAGCUCUCAGUUGGAUUGUCAAAUAAGCAGACCAGCUACCCUCAUUGAGUUAUGAUGUUAUAAUGAAAAGGAAACAGAGCAGAGAAGAGAAGAAGAAACAGAGCUAUUAUGAAAAGGAAACAAGAGCAGAGAAGAGAAGAAGAAACAGAGUGCUCAUUUCAUUCUCAUUCAUCAUACAGAGAAAUAUGAGUAGCAAGGUUCUUGGUACAGGGGGCGGGCAAAAAGAGUACUGUAAAUAAUCUGUAACUAACUCCAGCUCAUCUCUUAGAAAAAUACAAAAGCAGCUGUCUAACUAACAGGACUUUUAUUCUUACAUCUAAGAUCAUCUUAAUAGAUGUGGCUUGGAAUUGAUAUGGUAUACUUGGAUCAAAUCUUACUUAUAGUGUUGACUACUCCAUCUGCAUCAUUGAAAUCUUCAAGGCGAAUAGGGGAUGGAGUUGUGCAGGGAGGCAUGUAAUCAGGAGGUGGAAGGAGACUAGUUUCUGGUGUGCCACCAUCCUUCACUAUGAAAACAGUGGCCAUACCCCAUGUGAAAUGCCGAUCCAAAUGACAAUGCCAUAGCCACACACCUUCAAGAAAAUCAUCCACACAACCAGUUUCGAAAAUUAGCAUCUAUGAUUCAUCUAUAAAAGGAGUGGAUGAAAAGUUGAGGAAGAACAUACCUGGGUUGUCAACUCUAAGUCUGAUGGCAACCCACCCAUUCUUAGGAACUCUAACCGUGUUUUGUUCAGGUGGAUCAACCAAGUUAUAGCCUUUAGGAUCAGCCACAGGGUCGAAAUUUCCAAAACCCAUGCCAACCACAAAAAAGGUAAAUCCAUGCAGAUGAACUGGAUGAUCUUCAGCUGACAAUAGCAAAUUUGUUCCCUGGAAUACAAUCUCCAAUGUUUCAUUGUAAUUCAGCACCUUCACCUUGGUUGCUGGCUUCGUUAUGGCAGAAGGCAAAUCGUCCUCACCAGUGAAGUCAAAAAAGGAAGGCGGGUCGUCUGGAAAAUCUGUGGUGUAAACCCCACUUAUGUGCCUGAAAUUAAGGAUUUGGAAUCAUUAGGAAGCAAAUAUUAAAGUCCAUGUUUUUUAGUAGUAGGCAACAAAGGUAUACCUGUAGUAGGCAUCCAAUAUACUAGAACUGGGAUCCAUGAAACUUAUGUUGUUCAAGGUGGAAGCAAUAUGGUUGACUAUAAUUCCCUCAAAUGUAUAGCUGACCAGAUUAAUUGAAGCUGUUAUGAACAUUCUGGUAGUUACAUUUUGGGGCACAUUUGCUGGGUGUUCUGGGCUUGCUAAGCUCCUGAGCUUGCUGGUGAAGUUAUAUCCAGCAUCUAAUUGGUAAAAAGUGGGAAGCGUAGUGGGAAGGGAAGGCGAAGCUGGUGGGGUGUAGUUGCCUCUAUACUGAAGUAUUGCGGUAGCGGUCAUAUUGGUAAAGUCAGGUAUACUUGGGUCAAUGGUGACAAAUUGUCUUAUAGCCAUGUAAUAGUAACUUGGGGUUUGGUUUGUUGUGAUCAAGACAUCCAUGGUUUGUCCUGGGGUGAUCAUUAAGUAAUUGGUAACUAAUGGUUUGGUGUAGGUUCCAUCUGUGCCAACGACUGUCAAGUUGUGCUCAGAAAUAGCAAAGAAGAGUUCUGAAUUCAUGACUGCGUUCACUAUGCGAAGAAGAUAGGUCUUGCCAUAAUCCACAACCAAACUGUAUGCUGGCUCUGCCACACAGGAAACAAACAUGGUGAUCAUCAGAUCUAAAUUUAUAAAUGUACAACGACUUGAAAUUCCUCUUCAACUUUUUUCAUAUAUAUGCAUAAGUCUGUUAGAAAUGUUAACUAGUUAUACGCUUAAUUACAUACCACUAGAGCAUGCGACUAGAUCUCCAGGAAAGCCAUUGAUGGUGUAAGCAUCGGAUUCGGGUGUAGUAGCCUCAUAAUGGAUCAGGUCAUACUCAAGCUCCGCGUUCUGGUCUGCAUCAUACCAACAUGCUGCAGGUACAUGAUCAUGAGAAGCUGCUCUUCCUAAAAAUAUACAAAAUCAUAAAUUUUGAUGAAAAUAUUUGCAUACCCAAUACAAUAACUUCUUCGCCAUCAGGCUGGGGAAAUGGAUAGGUGGUUCCUUCAGCUGGCAAAACCACGAUGGCACCGUGCACAGUGGCCCGUGUCCAGUCACUAUGGGCAUGCCACCAAAGGGUUCCUUCCUGAUCUUCACUAAAUAUCACCUUCUGUGUGAAGCUUGUCCCUGGUUGAAUCUGGCACUGCGUGAUGUGAUCUGGGCCAUCUGACCAUGGAUUCCUUGGCUGCUUCACUCCAUGCCUAAUAACAAAAAUGACAUCUAUAACAUUUAUUCUUCAGCUUUGACGUCUUAUUAGUUAUUAGUUAGUUCCUUCAUCUUCUAAGAAUGUAGGCAAAACUCCAAUUCUUUUAUCUAGUUUAUAUGGGGAGUGUCAGUAUGAGAAAGAGAUUCAAGUGUCCUCACCAAUGAAUGGUGACGCCAUGACUCCCUUCAUUCUGAACAUUGAUAAUAGCCGUAUCGCCUGUGUGAACAUAAACCACUGGCCCUGGGAAGCUCUCAUUUACAGUCAGCAUGGUCUUUGUGACACACAGCCUUGUGAAAUUGGUGUCCUUGAGCUACAAGAAGACCAGCAAAAUGGAAGAAUAUGAGUAUAUUAAAAAAAAAAAAACUAAAUAACAAACAAGGUCCAUAGAUAUCAGAAAAGCGGGCAAGAAGGAUCCAUUGAUUAAUUUAACCAAGGCAGUGCCAAAAGCGUAACUCACAACAAAAUCAUAGUAGUGCGUAUCCCCUUCAGCAAUCCUGCAGACAAGCAUCAAUCCACUCAAAAGUACAAGAAGCAGCAACUGUACGGAAGAUUCCAUUUUCUCCAACGCCAUUAUUUCUGCACUCUCCCUCUUCUAAUGUACGUCUACUGAGAGGAAGGAGGCCAGUUAAAAUUUAGCUCCUAAAUGCUACUUCAUUUAAACCAAGUGUCUAUAAGAACAACGGUUGGUCCUGAGUUAGUUGGAGUGGCCCAGGUUUGCCUUUGGUUGAUUUCUUGUUGUUUGAAGGAAAAAAUAAGAGAAAUUUGAAGGAAAAAAUCAACUCAAAAGUUAUCUUAAUCUAAUCGUAUUUACGAGAUACAAUUUGAAAGAAUUUUUAAGUUUUUGAUAUAUUGAAAUUACCUACUCAAUUAGGUGAAAAGUGAGUUUUAAUCCACUAAUUUAAAAUAUAUAUAUAUAAAGCCUUAAAAUUUAUAAAUCAUAUUAUCAAGUAAAAUGAUAUUUUAGGAAAAAAUUAUUUGAUUUAUAAAAAAGUGUAUAUAUUUUAAAAUAUUUUUAAAUGAAUGAAAGAUAAAAUUAAAAUUCAAUUUUAUAUAUAUAUAUAUAUUUUAAAUAGUGAGUCAAACCCACUUUUUCUGUGAUUUUUUGUUUGUUUCUUUUGAAAUACAUGAAUGUUUGCUAGAAGUUGGACUAGGCUCCUUUGCCCACCUUUUGGAGAGAUAUUUAGUUUGCUGCUAGGCUUGAUGUCUGCCGGAAUCCUUACCAUGUAGUAAAAGGUAGUUGUAGUUUGACAUAUUGUGAAUCACAUGUAGGAAUUCUUUUAAUCACAUGUGGGAAUCCUUUUUGAGUCACAUCAGCAUAAUCUUGACUGAUGGAUGUGACCCUGUUGUUGAGAUAUUAGAAAUGCUUUCCAUAUAUCAUUAUUUCUUUAUAUUAUUUAGUGUUGAGAUAUUAAGAAUGUUUAAAUAUUAGGAAAGUUGAGAUAUUAAGAAUAUUGAGAUAUUAGGAAAGUUGAGAUAUUAGGAUAUUAGUUGUUAUUUCCUUAUAUCAUUCUUUCCUUGUAUCAUUCAUUCCCAUUCUUAGAAUGGUGAUUACCCUCUAUAUAUACUCUGUACAUGAACGAAUGAAAGUAUGAAUGGAAAAAACUACCAUUUAUCAAUUUGAAGAUGGUAUCAGAGCAAUGGAACUGAAAUCCUGAAUAUUUUGUCUCUAUGGUAGUCCGACAAUGAUCAUCCAUCCUAAGACAAGCCCUAAUAUUGAUAAGUCAACCUUUAAAUGCACUCAUUGCAAUAAGAUUGAUCCCACCAAUCUGGAUAUCCCACAAUUUCAAAGCAACGACUCUUGGUAUGAUCAAGAAAACAAUGAGGAACCGAGGGUUUGAACCAUGGACCUUUAGAUCAUGUUUAGGCUAUCAACACUUUGUUAUUAAUGAUAAUAAUCGUGAUCAACGAAAGAAGGAUUCCAAGAAAACCUCGAUUGCAAGUGUUGCCGAAAUAAAAACAGAAACUAAUGUUGCUGAGAAAGCCUCUGCAUUGGUAGCCGCUAUAGAUCAUGGUGGUAAGUUUUUAAAUACUUUUACACCUGUUAUUAAUAGUGCAUGGAUAAUUGAUUCUGGUGCUACAGAUCAUAUGACUUUUGAUUCUAGACAGGUUUCACCCCUUAGACCUUCCUCACAAAAAAUUGUUUCCACAGCCAAUGGUAACACAACCCUAGUCAUUGGGGAAGGAUCAUUAACUCUUACUGAUACUUUGAAUUUGGAUUUUGUUUUAGUUGUUCCAUCUUUAGAUUACAAUCUUUUGUCAGUUUCUCAAAUCACCGCAGUCUUAUCUUGUAUUGUCAUUUUUUGGCCUGAAUUUUGUGUGAUUAAGGACAUCCAAACAAGACAGACGAUUGGUUGUGGUAUUAAGCGGGGAAAACUCUAUUACUUGGACUUGCAGUCAAAGGAUUCAAAUAAGUUGCAACAAGCCUUGAUGGCAGAUGGAUCUGAGGGUGAGAAGAAAAAGUCUGAAAUUUGGUUGUGGCAUCGACGUCUGGGACAUGCUUCCUUUGGUUAUUUAAAAAAAUUGUUUCCUAGUUUGUUUGCAAAGAGUGAUAUUUCUGGUUUCCGUUGUGAUAUUUGUGAAUUGGAUAAAAGUCAUCGUGUUUUGUUUCCGUUAAUUUUGAAGAAAAGUCUAUUUCCUUUUAUGGUUAUACAUUCUGAUGUUUGGGGCCCAUCCAAAGUCCCAACUUUGAGUGGCUCACGUUGGUUUAUUACUUUUAUUGAUGAUUAUACCAGAAUGACAUGGUUAUGCUUGAUGAAGACCAAAGAUGAAGUGAACUUGUUGUUUCAAAAAUUUCAUAAAAUGAUUGAAACUCAGUACAAUGCAAAGGUUCGGGUUCUGCAUAGUGACAAUGGUGGAGAAUAUCAAAGUUUUGAUCUUCAAAAGUAUUUGGAAGGACAUGGCAUCAUUCAUCAGACUACUUGUUCCAAUACACCCCAGCAAAAUGGAGUCGCUGAACGGAAAAAUCGGCACUUGUUAGAGGUUGUUCGUGCUUCCUUGAUAACAGUAAAAACAUCGAUAUUUUAUUGGGGAGAAGCAAUCACAUCUGCCGCAUACUUGAUCAAUCGGGUACCUUCCAACUCAAUUAACUUCCAAACACCUCUCCAAACUCUUACUAAUGCUGUAGUUGCCCCAACUGUCCCAAAUUUACCUUCUCGUGUUUUUGGUUGUGUGGCAUUUGUGCAUCUACACAAACACCAACGCACCAAGUUAACUUCCCAUGCAUUGCAAUGUGUGUUUGUUGGAUAUGCAUUGCACAAAAAGGGAUAUCGAUGUUACCAUCCUCCAACUCGACAAAUGUAUAUUACAGUGGAUGUGGUGUUUCAUGAAGAUUCGAUGUAUUUUUCAUCUGAGUCUGAACUUCAGGGGGAGUACCAUAAGGAAAUUCAGACUGUCGAUUAUGAUUAUCAUAUCUCUGAGGAGAAUGAAUCUGGACAAUCUGAACUAGUGAACCAAGAAGCGGGUGAGUUGGAUAUGAGUGGUCAACAAUUUGGGUCCGAAGAUGUAUUUACUGAAAUACCAAACCAAUCGUCGUAUGUUGAAGGUGUUCUUAAUUUGGAACCUGAUCCAUUCAUGAAACGGUUACCACACCGUCAUAAUAGAGGUAUUCCUAAACCCACAUAUGAACCUGAAUUGUCUACCAAAGUCAAAUAUCCCAUGAGCAACUAUGUGUCUAACCAUCGUUUCUCUGAAUCAAAUAAGUCAUUUGUAAAUCAAUUAUCUACUGUAGCUAUUCCUAACAGUGUGCAGGAAGCCUUAGCUGAUCCAAGGUGGAAAGCAGCUAUGAAUGAAGAGAUGAAAUCAUUGCAGAAGAAUGAAACAUGGGAACUCGUAGAAUGUCCACCAGGAAAGAAGCCAGUUGGGUGUUGUUGGAUCUAUACUGUGAAGUGCAAGGCAGAUGGUAGUAUUGAACGAUUUAAAGCAAGACUGGUAGCAAAAGGGUACACUCAAACUUAUGGAAUUGACUACACAGAGACAUUUGCACCUGUAGCUAAGAUCAACACAGUUUGAGUAUUACUGUCUUUAGCUGCAAACCUAGAUUGGCCAUUACAACAGUUCGAUGUGAAAAAUGCCUUUUUGCAUGGUGAGUUAUCUGAAGAAGUAUAUAUGGAUCUUCCACCAGGAUGCAUGGUGUUAGAAAAGCAAUGUCAGAAGGUGUGCAAAUUGAAGAAGUCAUUGUAUGGGUUGAAGCAAUCCCCGAGAGCAUGGUUUGGAAGGUUCACAAGGUCAAUGAGAGCUUUUGGCUAUCGUCAAAGUAAUUCAGAUCACACUUUGUUCCUGAAAAAGCAACAUGGUAAGAUUACCGCACUCAUCGUAUAUGUGGAUGACAUGGUAGUUACAAGAAAUGAUCCUGAAGAAAGAAAAACUCUGCAAAAUUAUCUAUCUAGAGAAUUCGAAAUGAAAGAUCUAGGUCAUCUGAAAUACUUUCUUGGGAUUGAAGUUUCUCGAUCAAGUGAAGGAAUUUUUCUGUCUCAAAGAAAGUAUGCCUUAGAUCUUUUACAGGAGACUGGAAUGUCGGGAUGUCAACCUGUUAAUACACCAAUAGAAGAAGGUCUGAAAUUGUGUGUUGAGCCUAAUCAAGUAUCACCCGAUAAGGGAAGAUACCAGAGACUUGUGGGGAGAUUAAUGUACUUAGCUCAUACAAGACCAGAUCUUGCUUAUGCAUUGAGUGUAGUGAGUCAAUACAUGCAUAAUCCUGGAGAGCAACAUAUGAAUGCAGUUAUGCGUAUUUUGAGGUAUUUGAAGAAUGCUCCUAGGAAGGGAAUUUUGUUCGCUAAAAAUGUUAAUCAUCAGAGUAUAGAAGUAUAUACUGAUGCUGAUUGAGCCGGUGCAGUGGAUGAUAGGCGAUCUACAUCUGGUUACUUUACCUUUGUAGGUGGUAAUCUUGUGACAUGGAAAAGUAAGAAGCAGAAUGUCGUCGCUCGUUCAAGUGCAGAAGCAGAAUUUAGAGGUAUGGCUCUAGGACUUUGUGAGGCAUUAUGGCUAAGACUUCCCUUAUAGGAUUUAGGUUACCUAUCUAGGCAACCAAUCCAAUUGUUUUGUGACAAUAAAGCCGCAUGUGACAUUGCUCAUAAUCCAGUACAACAUGAUCGUACAAAGCAUGUCGAGGUGGAUAGAUUCUUCAUUAAGGAAAAGUUGGAUGAUAAGAUUGUGGAAUUGCCAAAGAUUCGAUCAGAAGAUCAAUUGACCGAUAUCCUCACCAAAGCUGUCUCAAGUCAAGUGUUCUCAAAAUUUUUAGACAAGUUGGGCAUGUGUGACAUCUAUGCACCAACUUGAGGGGGAGUGUUGAGAUAUUAGGAAUGCUUUCCGUAUAUCAUCAUUUCCUUAUAUUAUUUAGUGUUGAGAUAUUAGGAAUGUUUAAAUAUUAGGAAAGUUGAGAUAUUAAGAAUAUUGAGAUAUUAGGAAUAUUGAGAUAUUAGGAAAGUUGAGAUAUUAGGAUAUUAGUUGUUAUUUCCUUAUAUCAUUAUUUCCUUGUAUCAUUCCUUCCCAUUCUUAGAAUGAUGAUUACCCUCUAUAUAUACUCUGUACAUGAACGAAUGAAAGUAUGAAUGAAAAAAACUACCAUUUAUCAAUUUGAAGACCUGCAACUAACUUUUUGAUCUCUGGUUCAUCACCCAUUGAAAAAUUAAUUAAUGACUUAUUUGACAGUGAGAAUGAAAAAAUAAAAAAGUAUUUUUAUUUAAAUUGAAAUGAGAAUAAUGUACAGACUUUUAUUCGAGCAUGUCAUUGGAAAUUGUUUAAUAAAGAAAUAGUCAUUUCUAGCAUAAAUAUUUGAGGAUGUAAUUCAAAAGCAGAUUUAAAAUUUUUUUAAUAUAUUUUAUGGUUGUUUUUUUUAUUCUUUCUAAUUUUUAAAAAUAAUUUAGAAUUAAAAAAUUGAUCUAAUUAAUUGCGAAUACUUUUUCCGUUGUUGAGUAUUACAUGUAAUGAAAAACUUAAUCAUUUACGUGUCAAAAAUAAAAUAAUUUUAUUUAUUUUAAAUAAAAAAAUUAUCAACAAUUAUUAUUUUUAAAUUAGUAUCAUUCAUUUUUAACCAAAAAAGAAAAGAAAAAACAAUUAUGUUUUUAGAUGUUCAUAUCCAUAUUUUUAUAAUAUAUACUAUAAUAAUAUAUUUUUAUAAAAAUAUAAUUUAUGAUUUUAUUAUAAUAUUACUAUCAUAUUUUACUAAAAAUAUUUAUUUAUAAUUAAAAAUCUAUCAUGGAAGGAAUCUUAGAGAGAACCAAGGGAAAAAGGUGUGGUAUAGAAAUGUAUGCCUGAACCAUAGUUUUGAGAAGUCGACAUCUUUGAAUGGCAAGCACCUCAAUAUUUAAUAUAUUAUAUAAUUUAAUAUAUUAUAUAAAAUUAAAAUUAAUUAUAAGAAAUUAGAAAUAUAAAUAUAAUUCAAUUUUUUUUAAAAUAUUUUAUCUUUUAUAUUUGAUUUCAUGGAAUGAAACGAUGAUAACUUUAAAUAUAAAUGUAUUAAUAUUUUUAAUUUUAUUUAAUAAAAUAUAUAUAAUAGUUAAAUAUAAAGAUAUAUUUAAGAUAAAAGGAAAAAUAUAAUAUUCAAUUCUAUUUAUAUAUUAAAAAUUAAAGAUUUUAUUAUUUUAAUACUUUUCAUUAUAAAAAUAAAUAUUCACUUAAACAUUUAUGUUUAUUUAAGAAUUUAAAUUAAUGAAACUUCAAAAGAAAACAAAAACAAAAAAUGAAAAUCAAAGAUUACGUUAUUUGGUUUUUGUAAUAGUUUGCAUAUAGCCCAAUGGUAGAUAUUUCCUUAGUUUUGUGCUGCAACCCAUGUUGAUUCCCCCAUGCUGCUGCCACUUGCAUUUUCUAUCCAUCUAACGCAUCCCACAUCAGAAAUUGACAUAAAAUAUUUCUUCCUAUAAAUAUAGAUGAGCUUAAGAUGAAAUUAACAAAGCAUUUGGCCCAUUAGCAGUGGGCUGAACUGGGGAUUAGCCUCUAGGCCCACUCAGUGUUGCCAUACCCCAUGUGAAGUGUCGGUCCAAAUGACAAUGCCAUAGCCAUACACCUGCAAAGUACCAUCCUUAUUAGUUAUUGAGUAUGUUUGGUAGUGAUUCUAAGAAGUGUUUCUAGUUUUUUUAACACUUGAAAUUUUUAUCUUUCAAAUAUAAAAAAGACUAAAAAUACUUCAUAAAAUCACUAUCAAACGAACUCUGCAUAUUAAUAUCUAUAUCAAUCACACAAAAUCUUAAAUAUAAGAAAAUGUACACAAACUUAUGGGAUUGAAUGUGUCUACUUCCUAAGGUCUUAGAUUGGUACCGUCUAUAAUCAUCUUCUAUAUUCUUAAUUCAACACUCUCUUGUGCUCCUUCGAAGCUCUUAUGGAUUUUAUAAGGAAAAUCGUUAACCUUUGUUGAAGUUGAAGUUGUAAGGUACUUUACAACAUAUCUCAAAAAUUUGAGAGUUAGACAUUCAAGGGACUUUUGAUAAGAGUAUGGUAAUUUUUUAAAAAAAAAUUUUUAAAUUACCAUAGUAGGAAAAAUAAUUCCAAAUCUACAAUAGUUUUUGCCAGGUAGGAGAGAAGGAGAGUUGUUUUCUUUUUUUUCAACUUGGAAAUCGUCUUUUGAAAAGACGAUUUCCACCAAAAAAAAAUAAAAAAUUAAUCCCUAAAAAAUCAUCUUUUGAAAAGAUGAUUUCCACCCUAACAAACAUAAAAAAAAAUUAACCACUCAAAAAUCGUCUUUUGAGAAAACGAUUUCCACCAAAACAAAUAUAUAAAAAAAAUUAACCACUCAGAAUUCGUCUUUUGAGAAGACUAUUUCCACCAAAACAAAUAUAUAAAAAAAAAAUUAACCACUCAGAAAUCGUCUUUUGAAAAGAUGAUUUCCCUAAAAAGACAAAAACAAAUUUAUUUAAAUGGAAAUCGUCUCCCAUGAAAUCAUCUCUUCACCACCCAAAUUUCAAACUUUUAUACAUUUUGAUAUCUUUAAUUAUCUCCAUAUUAUAAAAACAAAUAAUAAAAUUUAAUAUAAAAAUAUAUUAUAAUAACCAAAUUUAUCUUUCACUAUUUGAUGUAAUGCAGCAAUUGAAAUUGUGUGAUCACUUUGGACUACAUUUUGAACUUCUCGUGCAAUAAAUAUGGAGUCUAAUUGUGAGUGGUCUUGUGAUAGUUUAGGGUAAACACAAGUGUGAGGACCUAUGUACUUUGUUAUCUCAAACAAACCAUGAGAUUUAGGACGACAUGCACAAAGCCUCUAAUUACAACCCUCAGACUAUUUUUUACACUUUACAGCUUACAUAUCUGGCUCAGAUUCAAUAACAAUCAAAUGUUGAUUCCUACAUAUGGAAUGACAUUUAACAACAUAUUAUAAGUCUACCUUACUCUCAAAUCGCAAACCCUUAAACAAUUCAUCUGAUUCAUUCCAUAAGUCAGUGUGUGCUAUUAAAUCCUUGUCAGCCAUGGAGUUAAUUACAUCCCAAUUCAAUUCUCUAAUAUUGGGGAAAGGACAUCAUGUUCACCACCACCUAGCAAUGAUGCAUCAUUUUCUGUAUUUUCAUUAUCCUCCAUGUCCAUAAUAUCCUCAUUACCAUCAUCUUCAUCAAAUAACUCCACAUUGUCAUCAUCAUUUUCAGGUAAAAUAUCAACAUAAUUUCCAACUGUCAUUACAAUUGAAUCACUAACCCCCGCCAUAUCUACCCUAACUAUAGGUUCCAUGUCAUUAUCAUAACUUUGCAUAUACAUAAGGGAAGAUGUAUUCUCUUUUACCAUUUGUUGACUUGGACCUAGACUUUCAAUAUGCAUUGGGAUGGUAAAGCUACUAAGCAUGGGGUGAUAAUUAAUGGAAGAAGUUUGAAAAUACAUUUCAAUAGUAUUUGGAGGAGGAGAUUGUGCAACAACAGUAAACAUUAUUCUUACAUCACCAUCAUGUCGAAUAGGCAAAGGGACAUAAUUAACAGUACCCCUUCCAUUUGGAAAGGGAACUGGAUAUCGGAACACCAUAUUUAACUUGGUGUAAGUACGAUUAAUAUUCAGAGCAUGACACAAUUUUGUUUCUAACUCAUCAAAUGUUAUCAUACUAUUGAUUGAAACACCUUUCUUAGGAGGACGAUUAUAACAUACCCCAAAUUCACAAUCAAUAAUUUCACCCCUGGUAUAACACAAUACUGUGGUAUAACCGUCCAUUAUCAAACCUAUUCAAAAUAUCAACAAAGAAGUAUCAUUAUCAAUAAACUUUAUGAUAAUAAUUGAUAUACAAUAUGUAUUUUGCAAAUCUAUUUUACUAAUAUUAUGGUGCAUUGUCCAUUACAAUAUAUUUCUUUUCUUUUUAAAAAUGGAUAAUUAAAUGUAUAUAAUAUAACAUUUUAAAUGUACAUUUACAUAUUAUAUAAGAUAAGACCAACUCUCGGAUAAUGUUCUACUUAUAUUUCUUAUAUUUUAAUAUUUUUUAAAUAAUAUUGUGUGCAAAAAAAAAAAAAAAAUACUAACAACCAUUACUAAAUUUAUUUAUUUUAUUUUAUUAUAUAUUCUAACAUUUUGCAAUUAUAUAUUUCUUUUCUUUUUUAAAAUGGAUAUUGAAAUGUAAAUAAUAUUUUAAUAUUUUAAUAUAUAUUAUAUACCUUUAAUACUCAUGGUUACUAUUUUAUAUUGUACACAAUUACUUUAUAUAUAUAUAUAUAUAUAUUAUACAUUAAAAUAUCCAUUUAAAUAAAUCAAAUAAUAUUUUAGUUUCAUUUCUACUUUUAUUUAUUUUUUAUUUUUAUUUCUCAAUAUCUUACAAGAAUUUUUUCAAUAAUUUAAGACAAAUCUUAAUUUUUAUAAAAUAUAGAAGAUAAAUUCAUAAUUUCGGAUAAUGUUCUACUUAUAUUUCUUAUAUUUUAAUAUUUUUUAAAUAAUAUUAUAUGCAAAAAAAUAAUUUAACACUAUGUAGACCCCAAAAUUUGUCCCAAUUUUAUUUUUACAUUAACUUUGAACCCAAUUUUAAAUCCCGAUUACAUGUGUUAUUUUUUGGCCCACUCACCCUUUUAAUUCUUAAUUUUUAUUAUUUUGUAAAUUGUUUUACUUUUAUUUCUAUUUGUUAUUAUUAUUAUAUUAUAUUUUUAUAUUUUAUUUAUCACUUUCUGUCUCCUCUCUUCCUCUCUUCCUUCUUCCAUUCCCCCCCCCCCCGGCUUUUUUCUCCCCAUUUGACCCUCCACUUUCUCCUCCCAUUUCCCAAGAACAACAGCCCCCAAUUCCCAAGAAAAUGCCUCCAUUUUUCCCCCAAUUUUUUCCCUUCAUUCUCUCUCGACAGCCCACCUCUCUCUCUUGGGAUUUUUUUUCAUUUUUUAUUUUUUCCUCUCCCACAUUCUCAAAAAAGGAACAGGACGACCACCAUUUUUUCCGAUUCCCCCCCCCUCCAUUCUCUUUGACGCUGCAAUUCCCAACCGGCCGCCCCCUGUUUUUUUUUUUUUUUUUUUUUUUUUCAUUUUUUUUUCUGCUUCCCUUUUCCAAAACACCCACACAGUCGGCUCCCCAUCUUCCCUCAUCAUUUUUUUUCUUUCUUCCAAUUCCCACACGCGCCAACCCCUAGAUUUUUUCCCUUUUCCAUCUUCCUCCCCAACUCACACACACGACCGACCCCCAUUCCUUUUCCAUUUUCUUUCUCCCAUUUUUUUUCAUCUUCCUUUUAUUUUAUUUUAUUUUUGUUUCCCAAAAACUCAUCAUCCCUCACUGUCGUCGGUAGGAUCACCGGUCAAUCUCCUCCGGUGAGCCCCUGUCGGCCGGCGACCUCCUCCAUUUUUCUCUCAUCCUCUCAUUUUCCCGUAUCACUCAUCUCCCAUUAUUAUUAUUAUUAUUAUUAUUAUCAUUAUCAUUAUUAUUACUAUUUCUUUAUUUUUCUUUAUUUGAUUUUAAUAGUAAUUGUUAUUGAAAUUGGGCUUGUGCUAUGUUUGUUUGUGGGCAUUAUGUUUAGGCUUUGUUAAUUAAUGUGAAAUUUGAGUUAAUUUUUUAUUGUUAAUUAAUAUGAAAUUUGGGUUAAUUUAUUGUUGGUAAAUUAAUUUGAAAUUUGUUAAUUUGGGUUUAUGGGAUUAAUUUAGGAUAUUUGAACUAUAUCAAUUGCAUAUUGUUUAUUUGGACUUGGACUAUUGUUAAUUGAUUAUUUGUUUAGGUUUAUUGGAUUGGGCUUGAUGUAUUAUUUCUUUAGGCUAUGUGUAUUAUUAAUGUAGACUUAUUAAUUGGUUAUUUGUUUGGGCUUAUUAGAUUGAGCUUAAGUUAUUAUUUCCUUUGGUCAUGUGUAUUAUUAAUGUGGGUUUGUUAAUUGAUGUGAAUUUUGAGUCCAUAAUAUGGGUGGGAUUUGUUGGAUGAUUUGAAUAUUUGAUAUGAGCUUGACCUAUUUGAAUUAUUUAAUUUGAACAUGAGAUAAUUAUGAUGUAUAUUAAAUUAGGUUUGGAUUAUGAAAUAUCAAAUUUAGGCAUAAUGAGAUUUAUUUUAAUUUAUCGUGUUUUGGGUUUGAUUAAUUGAGCUUACAUUUUAGCUAUUAAUUUGAAAAAUUUUAGAUUAGGGUUUAUGAUAUGUGAGAUAUUUUUGUUAUGUUAUAUUUGUUAAUUUGGACCCAUUUGUAAUUGAUGAAAUUUAUUAGACUAAUUUGAAGUUUGAAUUUGGGUUUGAAUAAUUAUUUUGGACUCUACAUAUUUUUGGAUACUUACAUUUGUGCUAUUUUUGUUUUUGCAUGAGCCCGUUUUAUAAUCUUGUUGGCUGAGUAUAAAUUUAUGACAUGUGGAGCUUGUUGUAAGUUUAUUUCCCACUUUUAUUUUGUUUUAUUUUUAUUAGUUCUUGUAAAUAUUCGUUUGUAUAUAUUUAUUGAGUGUGUACAGAAUUGAACAUCGAACAAACUAAAAAUUUUGUUUAAAUGAAAGAAAGAAGUCAGUAAAUGUGUUUUAAUAAAACAAUAAUUUUAAAAUAUUAUUUUUAAUAAAAAAAAGUUUUUUUUAUUUAUAAAAUUCAGAAAAAUGAAUUUAAAAAAAUCCAAAAGAAAUGUUUUUAAUGGAAUUUGAAAAUUUGUUUUUAAAUAAUAUUUGUCCAAAAAUUUCUUUGUUUAAUAAAAAUUGUCCAAAUAUUGUUUUGUAAAUAAAGUUGUCCCAAAAAUUAAUUUUUAAUAAAAUUGUCCAAAAAAAUGUUUUUUUUUUAAUAAAUAUAUUCUUUUUUACUUAAUUAAAAUUGGAUUAAAAGUCAUUUUUUGAAAUAGACGAUUUAUUUAUUUAUUUUUAUUUUUAUUUUUUCCUUUUAAUUAAAAAUUCUUAUGUAAAUAAAGUUAUGUCUUUUUAAAUAAUUUGUAUAAAUCACUCUCCUUAAAUGAAAUCAAAUUGAAAUAUUUUUGUAAAUAAAAUUGUAAAAAUUCUUUUUUUUUUUUUUUACAAGUAAAAAUAAUUUUUGUGCCCAAAUUGAAAUUUUGUAAUAAAUUCUUUUGAUACAAUAAGUGUAAAUAACCUUUUUUGAAAAUUAAAUACAAAUGAAAUUGAAUCAAAUCACUUAAAGAAAAUAUUUUGUAAAUAAAUAAAUUGAAAUCACUCAUUCAAAAUAAUUUUUAAUAAAAUCCUUUGAAAUUUCUUGAAAACUUUUUUAAAUAUUUUUUCAUUAUUUAUUUAUUUAGUUCAAUAAAUCAUUUUGCAUAAUUCUUUUGUCAUUUAUUUUUUAUAUUCUUAUAAUUAGAUUUCGUCAUUAUUUUUGUGUAUAUUAAUUUUCACCGUGACUUCUACAUUGAUUAUUUUUCUUGAUAUCCAUAAUUAAUUAAUUAAUUUUCACAAUUCUCUUAAUUCGUUUAGUAAAGGCCGUAUGUAUACAGGCUUAAAGGGGUGUUACGGCUCAUCAUCGUACCUUCCCAAUAAGUAACCCGACCCCCGGACCCAAACUUGGUUUUUCACAGACCCGUUUUUCCUUCAGGAGUCACACUUAGAGUUUUUUUCUUUGGUAUUUUGUUUUUUCCUUUAAAAAUAAAACAAAAAUAAGUGACGACUCCAAGUCUUUUUCUAAAAAUCAACAUUUCACCAAAUAAAUAAAAAACGAGUUUCGCUAUCGAAUGGGAACAUAUCGAGCAGAAAUGCGGGGUCCACACACUCUAAAUUUAUUUUAUUUUAUUUUAUUAUAUAUUCUAACAUUUUACAAUUAUAUCAUUCUUUUCUUUUUUAAAAUGAAUAUUUAAAUGUAUAUAAUAUUUUAAUAUUUAAAUAUAUAUUAUAUAUACAUUUAAUACUCACGAUUACUAUUUUAUAUUAUAAACAAUUGCAUUGUGGUCUUGGUAGAGAAUUUGAAUUACAUCUAACUUUCUCAUGACCACUAGAAGAUCAGUAGAAGUGGGGCCAUUGACCAUUAGAGAUUGUUGUUAAAAGUCAGUGGGUUAUGAGUCUCAAAUUAAAUCCUGACUGAACCAGACCUGUUUAUUAAAGAAGUUAUGUAAAUCUUGUCAUAUUACGUGUGUAAUAAAUGGGUUGUAUUCAUAUUAAAGGACUAUGACAUGAUUAUUAAACGGGUUGUAUUUGCUUGACCAGAUUUCGCUAUGAUCUUAUCUCAACAUGGAACAAACUACAUAUAACAUGACUUCAGUGUCACACAAAUAUUACUCUACAAAUCCAUAUAACACGAUUCUAUUGCCACUCAAAUGUUGCCAUUGCCUUCCUUUGUUCAAUAAAUCGACACGUGAUCUUGGGCUGUUGUUGAUAGACCUGAUAGUCAAUCUUCUUUAAAUUUCUUCAUUUUGGUCUACUGUGUCCCUUUUUGCAACCAUACUAAAAACUGAAAAUCAUGCUGAAAUUAUGAAUUCUCAACUCUUCAACCAGUUUUGGCAAGUUACAUAGGUUGCAAAUGGUGAAAUUGACAUUUCUCUUAAUAAGUUAAGGGAUAUUUUGAAAUGUCUUAAUUAUUAUCUUAUGGCAAUCUAUUAUUCAAAGCCUUGACAAAGGUCCAAACUCAAACUCAUUGUCAAUGGGGCCAUAAUAUCUUUGUUAAUGAAACUGAUGAUUUUUCUCUCCAUAGCUCAGGACUUGAAUCUCAAGCCACCUCCUGUUCCUGAGGGGGAGUUCUGUUGUCUGUGGCUUCCCAGUUUCUUAUUAUUUUUUUUUUGUUUUGCACUUUUUUUUGUUUGCUUGUUUAGACUGACAACUUCAUGAAAACUUGUUCAAUGGAAAAAUAGGUAUUUAAAUUACAAUUUUUUUUGUUCAAUGGUACCAUUUGCUUCAGGAUUUCAACUAAUGAAUGAUCUAAUGGUUUGCAAGAGUUUGACAUGAUAUGGUGUAUUACCAUUAUGUGUUGCCUGUUUCAUGUUCUGAUUUUUAUGCUUUUCCCAUUGUUUUCUAAUGUAUGAUUCUUUUUUCUUUUUGAUGUAUGUAAAAGAGUCUAGAAGCAGAUUUGUCAAGGAUUACUAUAGCCUUUUUCUGAAUUAUGUUGUAAUGGCCAGUAUUUUAGUGUGUGCUAGCAGAAGUCUGGGAAAUAGUGCUUUAGGGGUUGUAGGUCAUUCUAUUUAGGAAAAAUGUGUACCAACACAACAUGAUUUCUGACAGUGAUUUGUAGGAAAAUCUUGGCUAGCUUGAGUCACUAACUGUAUGAUGGUCUUCUUACCAUGUUUUCUGGUUCACUGAAUUCCAGAGGCAGAUUUACAGUUAAUAGUGGUUAUUUAAAAUGUAGACCUUGUGCAUUGUCGACUGCCAUUUCUUAGUUAGCAUUGAAUUGCCUUCAUGACUUGCACUUCUUUGCUUUAGAUAUAAUCUCUUUUUAUUUUUUAUUUUUGGAUGCUGAAUUGGUUUCCAUCUCCAUUGUGUUCCAGGCAAAUCCAUCUGAUCCCAAGACAUUUCCUUUUAUAUUAUUGGGAAACAAAAUUGAUAUAGAUGGUGGAAAUAGCCGAGUGGUAAGGACUAUAGUUACUGUCCUAUUUUAAUUUUGUUAUUUAUUGCAUCUGGUCCUAAUUUAUUUGAAUACAGGUUUCUAAGAAAAAAGCAGAGGACUGGUGUGCUUCGAAAGGAAACAUUCCUUACUUUGAAACAUCAGCAAAGGAGGAUUACAAUGUUGAUGCUGCAUUCCUUUGUAUUGCCAAAACUGCCCUAGCCAAUGAGCAUGAACAAGACAUGUGAGUUAACCUUUAAGGCUGAUUUGUUCUUUGGAAUGAUCUGACAUGGAGGUGAUAAUUGCUGCUCAGUUUUUUUUACAUGUUAGGUUCAUCUGUAUUAAAGGAGUGUCUAUCGUGUUAUGUGCUGUCCAUGAUUGUUAUACUUCAAUAGGAAAACUAUAUUGGUUUAUGAUAGCUGGGAAGUAAGUAUAUGCUAGUUAUUCAUCCAUUAAUUUUGAGAUUGUGCUCCAAAAUUACACUAGUUAUUGUUCAAGUAUGAUUCUUGGCAGUGUAUGUACAAGCCAGAACCAUUUCUUUCUUAUUUGCUAGAAAUAUUCUCUUUAUUUUGGUGCAAGUGGUUGAGUAUAUAAAGUUCUAGUCACAUACGGAGGGUUAACUAUCACCAUUUUUGAUGAAAUUUAAUUUUGUUAUGAUUUCCAUGUAAGUGGUUCACAUGGAAUUUCAUGAGGUCAUAGUGAUGAUCUUGAGUUCUGUUUUGAUGGUGUUGUUAGAUCUGGGUGUUUUGAGCCUUCUUCAGGUUUGAUGUUUCAGAACACCAGGACUUUUGAAGCUUCUUGUUGAAGUUGAUCUGAAGACAUUUUUUUUUUCAUGGGCCAUGUUGCGUAGCCAGGGUUGUUGGCAUCUUUGGUCCUAACUGAGAGAGCAUGCCACCUUUUGCACUCUCAUUUAAGUAUUGGGUGCAGUGAUCGUCCUGGUUUUUUUUUCCAUUUCUUCAAUGAUUUCCGUCUUUCUUUGUCUUCUCAAAUUUGAUUAUGUAGGGUUAAGAUCAUUCCAGCCUAUGGCUGUUUUCUACAAAGUGAACAAAUAUUUCAACAAGCAGGUUCUUUCGAGAGGGUCUAGGAUCUUAGAAAGAGUGAAGGGUACUUAAGCAUAAGAUUUUUCUCAUUUGUUUUAAUGAAGUGUUCAUGUAUUUUAACUUUUACUGCAUAACACGUGAUGUAGCUAUGCAUGAGCCCAUAUUGCCAUUUUGCUCAGAUUUUCAUGUUGUAAUGGUAAAUAUUUCUUAGAUCCAUUUAGUUAAAUUAAGCCUAAUUUGCUAAUAAUUUAAGUGCUUGAAAUCUUAGUGACCUUUCUAUGUGAAGAUCUCAUGUUUCUUCUACCUCAAUUUUUGUUGACAUUGGGGCUUGUAAAGUUAGCCUAAAAUUCAUGGUUGUGUGUAAUUGACAGGAAAAUAAGAGAUGGCCCUUUUCAUCAUUAGAUUGGAUUAGGCACACACCCCGCACCGCCACUCCCCCACACUACCACCACAAUGAAUCUGACCUUAUACAUGGCCGAAAUGACUUUCUAAGGAGACCAAUGAGUUUCUCUCUAAGUGAUUUUAGAAUUCAAUCCACCAGUCUAAAGGCCAAAUAUAGUCUAGAGUGCCAGAUGCCACCCUUUGUUUUCUAGGAAAUCUCCUUGUCUGUUUGCCACAAAGAGCCCUGUGCGAAAGCAUCAUUGCCUAAUCUCAAUCACUCUUGUGCUUAGCUUGGUGACUAUAAUCCACCCAAUCAGAUGACCUCCGCUUGGUUUCCUAGGGCCCUUAAGAAGCCCUUUGGAUCUCCACUGUUAUUUCUGCCACACUAUUAGGCAUUCUGAAAAUGUAGAUGUAAACUUAAUUGUACCUUUUUAGGGGUAGUCAUAAAUUUGUUUUUAAUAUGAGUCCAUUUUUUCUUGUUAGGCAAAUAAGAAUAUACUAAAUUAGUGCUUGAAAAGAGGGGGCCCAAACCUAGGUAUGUAGGUUGUAUGUAAGGAACACUUAAAGCACAAACAAGAAGAGCUCAACCCAUUCCCUACUCAUUGUUAAAAUUUAACAAUAAAAGAUUUCCAUUCCUGAAAGAUAUACUCAAUGAUGAAUCCUUGCACCAACAAAUAUUUCAAAUAGAAAUCUCAGUUUCAGAAUUAGUGGCUUCACCUGUUCAAAAUCCUUUGAUUCUGCUGUUUUUUUAAAGCUAUGAUGUAGAGAGGUUACCAUCAAAGCCAAGGUGAUCACACAUUAUUUAUCAGAACUUUCAUCUAGGGAGACUUAAAGCAUUAAUUGCGUAUGACGAUGAUAUUGUUGUCAUUGGAGAUGACCAAGAAGAGAUUAUGGGGUUGAAAUCAUACUUAGUUGAAGAAUUUGAAAUCAAGGACUUGGUAAGCAUUGAUAUUUCCUUAGAAUUGAGGUGGCUAGAUCAAAGCAAGGAUUAUCGAUUUCUCAACAGAAGUACAUACAAGAUUUACUUAAGGAAAUGAGUAUGCUUGGGUGUAAAUCAGUUAAGACACCUAUUGAACAAAAUCACAGACUAGGAGAGAAAUCUGAAGGCCAACUAAUUGAUUGAGGCAACUACCAACAGAUGGUGGAAAAACUAAUUUACUUGUCACUCACAAGACCAAACAUUGCAUAUGCCGCGAGUAUGGUAAGUCACUUUAUGCAUGCUCCACUUAGACCCCACUUAGAAGCUGCAUACUGGAUUUUGAGAUAUUCGAAGGCAGCUUCUGACAAGGUUAUCUUAUUUAAGAAGGGUAAAGAAUUAAAGUUAGAAGCCUACACAAAUGGAGACUAGGCGAGAUCUAUUGUGAAUGGACGAUCAACUAUGGGAUUUUGUACUUUCUUGGGAGGUAAUCUUAUCAUUUGGAGAAGUAAGAAAUAAUCAGUUGUACACUGUUCAAGUUCGAGAGCAGAAUUUAGAACUAUUGCAUAAGAUAUUUCUGCACUUCUUUGGAUUAAGAUCUUACUUAGGGAUCUCAAAAUCAAAUUUUAAGAACCUAUGAUAUUGUAUUGUGAUAAUAAAUUUGCCAUCAAUAUAGCUCACAACCUAGCCCAUCACUAUCAAACCAAGUAUGUGGAGGUUGACAGAUAUUUUAUAAAGGAAAAGUUGGAUGGUGGUCAAGUGUGCAUGCCAUAUAUUUGUACUACUAAUCAACUAGCCAAUGUUCUCACUAAAGGACUCCCAAGUUUAGCAUUUCAACGAAUGACUGACAAGCUGGGAAUGCAAAGCAUCUUUGCACCAACUUUAGGAGGAGUGUUGGAAGAAUUGCAAUUGGGUUGUUGACCAUGUAAUAUAGUUUCCAUAUAUAAGUGUUGUAUAGUUGUACAAUAUUAUAGAUCCUAAGGUUUUGCUGGGAUUAAUUUGUUUCCUUGUUAAAUUUUCUGUUUCUUUCUUUAGAUUCUAGAGUCAAGAGCUUUGUUCAAUAUAUAGCUCUGUAUCAAACCUUAGAAGGAAUAAGAAAAUAAUUAUUUUCUCCUGCCUUUCUUUAAUUUUAGCAUGAUACAAGUAUAGGGAUGAGAAAUUUAGAAAUGUGAAAUCUAAAAAUUGGGAAUUACACAGAAGUAAUCAUCCUCAUGCAUCAGGUUGCAUCACUAAGACAGCCAGCACAACCAAAUAGCUGGAUGGAAAAAGAAACUAAGAAAAAACCCUAAUGGUAGGAUCAUUAGAUGUUUCUUAUUUAUUUUUUAUGGUUUUUUAAGAUGAUCAAGUCAUUUAUGAUCGUAAUAAGGUGAUCUUCUUUCUUGUUCUAUGGAAUCAACAACACUCUAGAUACCUAGUUUUUGGUAUAUUCUUUAAUAAAUCUACAAGUUUUAGAAGAUGCUGCAUUUUAUUUGUUACUCAACCAUGUUUUUAUAUACUUGUUGCAUUAAGUGGUGCCAGAGUAAUGUCAUGUUUGGUGCAGGUAAACAACUCUCAAGUAUUAUUCUUCAUGAAUUUAUUCAUUAGCAGCCAAUAGAGAAGUGAAAGGUUUGUUUGGUGAAGUUUUUUAAAACAAUUCUCAAAAAAUUAUUUUUGAGAAUAGUUCUUAAAAAUAGUUCUCAAUUGUUUUUAGCAACAAAAUUCAGUUUAAGAACUCAAAUAUGAAAAACAUUUUUCUUGUCUUAUUCUAAGUGAAAUCAUUAUGCAUUUAUGUACAAUGCAAAAAUUCUCAGCCUAUUCUUUAUGUUUCCUGUUGUCUUUCAGAACACUAUAAAAACCACAUGAAAAUACCUCAAAUUUGUUUUAAAAAAUCAUCAUGUUUUCAGAAAAAAUUAUCAAAGAAAUUUGUCCAGUCAAAAAUUUGCCAAAUGUGUUUUUGAAGUUAGAAUNNNNNNNNNNNNNNNNNNNNNNNNNNNNNNNNNNNNNNNNNNNNNNNNNNNNNNNNNNNNNNNNNNNNNNNNNNNNNNNNNNNNNNNNNNNNNNNNNNNNGAUGCAGACUCGGUCCCACCUGAUUGUUCCCUAUUUCUUCAAUUUGUCUUUUUUUUUUUUUUUCGUUUUUUCAUUUGUUGUGAUUUAUAGUCAUUUUUUGCCUUUGAAAUGUUUGAGCUGUUGUCUUGUGUUGCCACUUUAGAAGAAAGCAGUCUUUAUUUUGCUGAACAUGAGCUUUAGUACUUAAAAUUGUAGAGUAGAAAGCCCCAUUGGAUUCAUUCACCAGGAAUCAUUUUCAUCUGUGGUUCGGAAUUGAGAUCCAUUUUUAGUAGGAAAAAUCAUUGCUUUUAAGCUUAAUAUGUAUUUUCUGUACGGUUUAUUUAACUUGUGGAGUUUUAGUUGGAUCGAAUUACAUGUAAUCGAACUCCUAUUCUUUGAGAUUGCAUGGGAAGCUUUGUUUUACUUAGAAAAUCUGUGGAUGUUCCAUGUACUGAAAUAAUAUGAAUUGAUUUCAAGUUUUCCAUAUAGGAAACAGAGUUCUGAGUAUCUGCAGACCUGCUAGUUGAACUGGUAAAACGCUAGCCUUCUUUCACCAGGCUUUUACUGAAUCACUGAAAUCUUCCAGCACAAUUGGGGAUGGAUCUUGGCAUGGCGGCAUGUAUGCAGGAGGUGGAAGGAUACUGGUCUCAGGCGUGCCGCCGUCCUUCACUAUGAAAACAGUGUCCAUACCCCAGGUGAGAUGUCGAUCCAAAUGACAGUGCCAUAGCCAUACACCUGCAUGCAACCAUCCUUAUCAGUUCCAAUGAUCAACAUCAGUUUUUAUAGUAUACUUGUAUAGUCCUGAAGAAUACACCCACCAGGAUUAUUUGCUACAAAUCUGAGGGCAACCCAUCCAUUCUGAGGAACUGUAACGGUGUUCCGUUCAGGUGGGUCAACCAAAUUAAACCCUUGGGGAUCAGUCUCAUUGUCGAAAACUCCAUAACCCGACCCAAUCACAUAAAAGGUAUAACCAUGUAGAUGCAGUGGAUGAUCUUCGGGUGUAUAUUGCACAUUAGUUCCCUGGAAUAUGAUCUCCACUGAUUCAUUGUAGUUGAGGACCUUCACCUUAGUCGCCUGCAUUGUUACGUCGGAAGGCAUAUCGUACCCGGUGAAGUUAAAAUAGUAGGACGGAUGGUCUGGGAAAUCUGUGGUAUAAACUCCACCAACAUGCCUGUAAUAAACCCUCAUUUGGAGACCAUCAUAAACAAUAAUCCAGGAAAAAAAAAAGACUGAAAAAAAGAAAAGAAAAGAGAAAUAAAAAACACAGUGGAUUACCUGUAGUAGGCUUGCAGCACAUCCAUCUCGGGGUUCAGAAAACUAAUGUUGUUCAAGCUUGAAGCUAUGUAAGUCCCUGUUGUCCCCUCAUCUUCAUAGACCACUGAAUUCAUUGCCACUGUGAUGUACAUUCUAGUAGUUAUAUCUAGAGGCACAUUCACUGGGUGCUCUGGGCUUGCUAAGCUCCGAAACUGGGACAAAAAGCUGUAUGCAACCCCCAAUUGGUGGUAAGCAGGAAGGUUGGCUGGAAAGGAAGGUGCGGCCGGGGGUGUGUAGUUGCCUCUAUAUUGAAUAAUUGCAGUAACAUUUGAAUCAUCGAAGUCGGGAACUUCAGGAUUUUCAGAUACAAACUGCCUGGCAGCCAUGUAAUAGUAACUUGGAGCCUGGUCCAUUGUGACCAGGACAUCCAUGGUUUGUCCCGGGGUGAUCAUUAUGAAACUGGUGACAAAUGGUUUGGUGUAGGUUCCGUCGGUGCCAACAACAGUGAGGUUGUGGCCGGAUAUGGCGAAGAAGGUUUCCGAGUUCAUGAUUGCAUUCACUAUGCGAAGAAGAUAGGUCUUGCCAUAAUCCACCAGUAAACGAUAUGUUGUUCCUGCAACAAAUUAGUCAUGAAAAUCAAUAGAUGUUGAUGCUUGUAACUCUUCAUACACAGGAUACAUUUAUGUGCUAGUUGUAUGUUGAGGUACCAUUGGAGCAUGCUGCAAAAUCUCCUGGCUGGCCGUUGAUGGUGUAAGCAUCUGAUACCGGAGUAGAUGAAGUGGAAUUUUGGAGCAGAGCCUCCUGAACCAGCAAGUUCACAUCUCCCUCGAACCAAGAUGCUGCAAUAAGAAAAUAAUAAGAUCCACACCUAAAUAUCCGGAAUUAAUCCAUUCCAUUCAUUGUAGUUUUAUAGAAAAAAAAAAAAAAAAAAUCAUUCUCAUGGUACCAGCUAGUUAUGGGCCAUCUCUUUUUUUUUUUUUUCUGUUGAAAGAAUAGUGCUUUUUGUUCUCAUUCUCGCUUGUUCCACAUAGGGCUCUUGGGUCCCCUACUUAAUUUUCCAAAGUAUACAAAAUCACAUGGACUCUCAAUUCCCCUACCUACUUUUCAAGAAUAGAAAUCCGUUGUAGUAAAAAAUAUUUGCAGAGUUACCAAGCACAAUAACUUCUUCAGCAUCAGGCUUGGGAUAUGGAUAGGUGGUUCCUUCAGCUGGCAAAACAACAAUAGCACCAUGGACAGUGGCCCUUGUCCAGUUACUAUGGGCAUGCCACCAAAGAGUUCCUUCCUGAUCUUUACCCAAUAUCACCUCGUAUGUGAAGUUUGUUCUUGGUUGAAUGCUGCACU
rnacentral:lncRNA from 1 species